CCCUUCUCUAACCUGCUUCAGAGUAAUUGAUAUCGUUAUCAAGCUAGCGACUGGAAAUCCACCAAGACGAAGAAGGUAGCUCACUAUACCCAAGUCUCCAUAACAGUUCCAGGUGAGAGCAGACUUUUCUGUUUAUUUUAACUGUAUGUUUAUUUCGACUUACAGUUAACGACUGGUUGCGUGAAAGCGAGGAAAACAGCCGUUGAGUUUUCAAGGUGUCUUGUGUCCAUAUACUUCUGUUUGGGAUAUUUAUACACACUUAGGCCCUGUCGUGUCUCACUGCAGAACAUGGUGUCCUCUGUAUAUGAGAAUGGACACCGAAACCCCACCAGACAUUAGUUAAGCCUGUCUCAGUAUAAAAAGCAGCUUGUUGGAUCUCUCGUGGAAUCCUGUAUGUGUUUAUUUAGUAACACUGGAAUGAAUGAGGUAGAAACGUGUGAAAGUACUCUGCACCUUUAUCACCUAGGUGUAUUAGUUGAGUGUUUAUGUAAGCUAAAGAGUUAGGAAUACAGAUAUGUAUUUGUGGACGUACUGUCUUCUGCUUACACUCCACAGUUGAAGGGUAGAACAUGUUGAGGUGAUUGAAAUGGAGGCCAAGACGAUGUAAGUUACAGAGGGAAGGGAAUUCCUGGGGGGGGAAAGCAGCUGUUUAUGGAGGUUAAGUGAAAUACAGGAAUCAGAUAUUGACUAAGACGAAAGUUUAAAAAAAAUAAUAAUAAAAAAGAAAUGGAGUGUGGAGAAACUUUGGUGGCAGACCUGGAGCUGGACCCAGACAUUGUAAGCGAGGAGGCGGGAAAAUUGUACUCUGAACUCCAGGUAAUCAGUCACAAUGCUACACAUUCAUGUCACAUACCAGACUAAGCUGAGAUGUCCAACAACCAAAGCCUGUAAUUAUGAAAGCAUGAAAUGGAUGAAUGCUUUGCUAAGUACUGUAUUAAGUAUUCACACAUCAUUGCUUUGCCAUCUUUUCAUAAAGGAAGUGAAAUGUAGCUUUGUGCCAUUAAAGAGUCCCUGAUGUAGUGAACUGCACUUCCUGUCCUUACGGCUGUGCAUGAAGAUAAGAAAUUCAAACUAGGCAAAAUAUAUAUAUAUCUCAUCAUGUGCUGUAAAUAAGGAUAUGUCGCACAGCACCUUGUGUUUCCUCAUAUUUUUCUAUAUAUAUUUAAAAUGUGUGUAUAUAUAUAUA
ensembl:lncRNA